CACGUGAGCAACCUACCGAACUGUGGGGGAGUAGCCGGCCUAACGGCCGAGUAAUACCGCAUACGCUCUCAGUGAGGCAUUUCAUUGAGAGGAAACCUACGGGACAGAUCGAGGGGCUCGCGGCCUAUCAGCUAGUUGGCGGGGUAACGGCUCACCAAGGCAACGACGGGUAGCUGGUCUGAGAGGAUGGCCAGCCACAUUGGGACUGAGAUACGGCCCAG
rnacentral:rRNA from 1 species